ACUGGUUCUUCCACCAUGAAAACACACUUACCCACAUAACAUUGACUGUUCAGCAGUUUUAAACCAAAAAUGGCAUGACCUCUGUGCCCCACCCUCCAUAUUCUACCAAUCUCACUCCAAGCAACUUCUCUUUGUUUCCCUGGAAGAAAAACAUCCUUGAAGAGAAACGCUUGGCAGAUGUGGAAGAGGACUUGAACAUGAUGUGAGAAGGCCGGAAGGGACACAUGCAGUUUCCUCCUUCAGAAAAGUUGCUGACCUGAAGAUAACUGCAUAUGGCAGCUAAAAGUAGAGGUAGAAAUGUCAGUCAGAGGAAGCCUGCAGUUGACCCACAAGGACUUGCUGUAUUUCCUUCCAGGUUCACAGUCUCAAGCACUCUCCACAUAUGUUGAUAUUAGUGUAGUGUGUAUGAAACAGGAAAGGAAACAAUGGGAUAUUUUGUUUGAAAUUGCCUUCUAUUGUGGAUUUAAUAUCAAUACAGAUUUCUGUCAUUUAA